rnacentral:rRNA from 1 species
UACAGAGGGUGCAAGCGUUGUUCGGAAUUAUUGGGCGUAAAGGGUGCGUAGGCGGUGAUGUAAGACAGAUGUGAAAUCCCCGGGCUCAACCUGGGAACUGCAUUUGUGACUGCAUCGCUAGAGUACGGCAGAGGGGGAUGGAAUUCCGCGUGUAGCAGUGAAAUGCGUAGAUAUGCGGAGGAACACCGAUGGCGAAGGCAAUCCCCUGGGCCUGUACUGACGCUCAUGCACGAAAGCGUGGGGAGCAAACAGG